rnacentral:misc_RNA from 1 species
CCUCGCGCAUGAGCCAUUUCUCGGACUACAUCCCGAGCAAUGAGUCGCCACCCGCGGCGAGGAGGCGACUGGGCCCGUCAACCCAGCCACCGGACCUCGGAGGUGUCUUCAUCAACCACACGACCGAAGUGCUUCUCUCAGACGCCGGGGCAACGGGUAAGACGCGUCAUCAUCAGGAGCACCGCGUAGCAGACACGAAGAAAGUGGCGGAUAGCGACACGAGCGGUGACAGCUUCCACCAGGGAGACACCGACGAAGGGCGGCAUGACCCGAAGUCCAUACCCACUCUGCGUCUCCGUAAACCCAGCAGGAGCCACGGUGGGCAUGCUGCAGCGAGCCGCUCUAGGGAAGGUCGCGACACUGGGACUCCCCUGAAGAAGCAGGGAUCGUUCAAGCAGUCGAGAAGAGAGGCCGCUCGUGAAGCGACCCCGGCAUCACGAGGAGCUCAGCCGCACCCUGCGCCGCGGAAUGCCGCGAUGACAAGGCGACCGUCCAACGGCGGUGGUGCGGAGCCCAACAAUUCGACCCCCAGUACUUCGAGGACGUCGAAGGACGCGCAAGAGCCUGAGCGGUCAACCAGGAGGGCGAGACAACAUGCCCGAACCGUGGGUCAUGAGUCACAGACUGACCGGAAUGAUGUCAAACCAGCGGCACGCGACGCGUCGGAGAGAAGUGAGGCCACCGACGCGGGUCGCGGCAAGGACAGUGACUGGUCAGUGUCCUGCGGAGAACAGCAGCAACUGAGCGACAGCAGGCAGGAUGCGUCGCGGGACGCUGGAAAGCGAGAGGACAAGGACGCGCGGGUUCAGGACUCGAAGCUUCAGCUGCCCAUGGAGAAGGACAACUCCUCCCGGAAGUCGGGCACGGACAGGCUCAUGAGGAGCGGAAGUGAAGGACAGCUUCUGGAGCUGGACUCGUCAGGACACCGCAGUGAGAGAAGAAGUGUGCCAGCUGCCCUGGUGGAGUCACGCCACUUGGCUGGCCACUCGGAACAUAUGGCUCUGCCGAACGCCGACGAGCAAGAGGUGGGCCACCACCAGUCCGCGCACAGGGUCCAGAAUUCCGAAGAGGCACCGGAAAAGCGCCCGGAUAAACAGAAGAGCAAGUCUCAUAAGCAGUCCAGGAGCCUGAGCAGUUCGAGUAGUUCUAGCAGCAAAAGCUUGCCGUCUGACAGUCCCAAGGAGGCGCCAGGUGGCAAAGGGAAAGGCCAAUCCAACGAUAACAGCGAGGACAGCUUUUUCGACAAGGACAUUCUACCGCAAGAUACCACUGCCUACCAAUUUCUUCUUGGAAAUGUGAAGCCAACUGCUCCGGAAAAACCAUCCGUGGUGGACCAGCCCUCGGAGAGCAGCACUGACAUUGAGAACGAAAUCGGCAGCCGCAGUUAUGACCAGCCAACCCAAGUAUAAAAAGAGUCCCGAAGAGCUCGAGGAUCCCAAAGCUGGCAGCAAUGAUAGCUCCCCUCCGGAGUAUGACGUGACCUCUGUCAACAUACAGAAUCUCAUCAGCGCCAAGGUUAAACAUGACGUGCCUUCGCUUAUUUCACGGAAGGUCCUGGGCCUCGACAUGUACGCAGAGCCCAAAAUAUUGCAGAGCCAAAAGCGAGACGACGAAGACAGCUUCUUCGACUGACGGGAAUGCAUCGUGAAGCUCAAGCCUGCAGCUCCGUUCGUUUCGGUGUAGCCCGCGGGCGUACUCGUUCUGUGUGUGAUAUAUUAUUGUAUGGAGAUUUUCAAUGGGUGCGAAUUGGAGCACUGCUCCAGAAGCGCUCUCACCUUGCUUAGUUGACAGCAACUAAAACGUGUCGAGGUUGCCACGAGCCCUCGCGAAAACGCUUGGCGGGCUAUUUUCACUGCUCCCUUAUAACAGAGACUACAUCAAUUCUAGACCACUGCGCAGCCAACGCGUCAGCGAUUUUGUAUCAUCGGUGUCACAUUAAUUUCGUACGCUCACUAUAGCAAGCCACAGCCGCGCUAUUCUCCAGUUCAGGAAAGAGAACAUGCUCAACUAUGCCGCCGCUUAUUCACUUGGCCUUUCCUUUGAGUCGCUCCCCCGGGAUGGAUGUGGUAUGAAAGGAGCUUAACAAAAUACGUUUGCCCGUUUGCAACAUUGUAAUCUGUCGAGAGAGAGAGAGAGAGGAGAGAGAGAGAGAGAGAGAGGGGAAUUAUAGCUGUAACGUAUAGGCAAGAAUAUCAAAACAGCGAACAAACGCGUCUAUACUUUGUGUAUCCUGUAGAACAAACGCGAAAUGGUUAAAUGAAGUAUGGACACCAAAGGAAACGGGGACGAAGUCGAGUGGGGCAAGGAGUCAGAUGGCAGAUCAUAAUAGGCAGUUCGUGGCUGUGACCAGUCCAUAACAUACACGUCAUAGACGCCAUAUAUUGGAACCCCAUUUACACUUCACACUCUGCUAGUGUAGGUACGU